rnacentral:lncRNA from 1 species
CACAGUAAAGUUGAUAAUGAGUUUGCUAGCUUCAUUUAAGAUAACUAGUUUUUCAAUCAUACUUGAACAUGGUGCAUCCUUUAGCCUCGCAUGGCUCACUUAAGAUGGCUAGUUUUUCAAUUAUACUUGAACAUGAUGCAUCCUUCAGCCUUGCAUGGUUUCCACUAGUUAAGAUGCCAACAUACAUUACAUCGUCAUCUGCUUAAUCAACUCAAGAACCUCAAUCCCUUCAUCAUUAU